ensembl:lincRNA
CCUUGAGGUUCCAGAGCCCACUAAAGCAGGACUUCGGGGCCUCACUUUACCUUUCUCUUCCCUGGAGACCACUGAAAUGCACUGGCGAGAGAGCUGGGUUUAAUAUUCAUGAACCAGCCAGGCAUGAGUGAUUAGCUGACUCCUGUUGGAGGAGGAGGAAUAAUUGAAUGCGGUAUUUACGUAACAAGUUAAUGCUGCCACCCGCCUGUGGGGCUCCUUUGUGGGUCUGUCCUGCACCUCCCUACUUGCCCACAUUGUGUUUCUCCUCACCUGCCUUGGAUGGCCUAGGAGGAAGUGCAGUGGCUUUGCACCCCUCUGCAAUUGGGGCUGCCGUCUAAAUGAUAACAUUAUUUAGGGAACAGAACUCCAGUGCCUGGGAGAGCCUGUAAUGGGCUGGUCGGUGGCCUGCCCGGGGGGCUGGACCCCUAAACAAAACCCUUCUGCAGACUCUGAGAAAUGACAAGGGGAAGCUGAGAAGCUGAGACUGGGUUUUUGACAUGGGCCUUCUUGCCCCAAACCUUCAGGAGACCUUGAGCACAUUCCAUCCCAUUUUUUGGCUUCUUUCCUUUUCUGCAACACACAGGGCCCCAGCCCGACCCUCUGUGGUCUAGGACUGCAUUCCAGCUGCCUGGUUGAAGGCAGCAGGCAAGGGCAGAAGCCGGGGUGCGGGGCCAUUCAAAAGAGAACUGCUCUUUUGUGGCUGCAAAGGGGAGGUAAGGCACUGUUUCCAUGCCUUCCUCAAGAGCUGCCUUUGGGGUUACCCCUGGUCAGUGCUCACUUGGGGUCCUGGAAUCAAAGGUUCUUAGCUCAUAAUCACCUCAUUCAUGGCUGGCUGGGAGGUGUGCUGUGUGCAUGUCUGACCCUGGGCAUGAGGAACACCAGCCAAGUCCUUCUGGCUGCAGUUAAAAGGGCUCACCGGCCUCUCCCUGAAGUCUUGGCCCGGGAGCCUGUGUCCUCCAGGUAGCUGUGCUGUGGGGAGCUGGAGAGGACUGAAGAGCUGAGGAGGGUACUUUGGCCUCUGGCUUUGUGGGAUGUGGGGUGUGGGGGGAGGGAGGGAGGAGGAACCCAGGC